rnacentral:rRNA from 1 species
ACUCAAAGGAAUAGACGGGGACUCGCACAAGCAGUGGAUUAUGUGGCUUAAUUCGUCGGUAAGCGAAGAACCUUACCAAGGUUAGAAAUGCAGCUGCAUCCCAGCAGAAACGUUGGGAGCCUUCGAGGGUGCUGCACAGGUGAUGCAUGGUCGUCGUCAGUUCGUGGUUUGAACUGUUCCCUUCAGUGGGGUAACGAACGCAACCCCCGUUGCCUGUUAUAUAUGUCAGGCGAGACUGCUCCCUCACGGGAGAGGAAGGUGGGGAUGACGCCAGAUCAGCAUGUCCCUCUGAUACCUUGGGCUGCACACAUAAUACAAUGGUCGGUACAAAAGGAAGCAAUACCGCAAGGUGGAGCAAAUCCCUAAAACCGUCCUCAGUACGGAUUGAGGUCUGCAACCGACCUCAUGAAGCUGGAAUUGCUAGUAAUCCUGGGUCAGCCAUACCAGGGUGAAUACGUUCUCGAGUCUUGUACACACCGCCCGU